CCUACGGGAGGCUGCAGUGGGGAAUAUUGGGCAAUGGGCGCAAGCCUGACCCAGCCACGCCGCGUGAAGGAAGAAGGCUUUCGGGUUGUAAACUUCUUUUGACCGGGAAGAGCAGAAGACGGUACCUGUCGAAUAAGCCACGGCUAACUACGUGCCAGCAGCCGCAGUAAUACGUAGGUGGCCAGCGUUGUCCUGAUUUCCUGGGUGUACAGGGCGUAUAGCCGGGCUGACGAGUCAGAUGUGAACUACGGGGGCUCAACCCCCGACCUGCAUUUGAAACUGUUGGUCUUGAGUAGCGGAGAGGUAGGCGGAAUGCCUAGUGUAGCGGUGAAAUGCGUAGAUAUUAGGAGGAACACCAGUGGCGAAGGCGGCCUGCGGGACGACAACUGACGGUGAGGCGCGAAAGCGUGGGGAGCAAACAGGAUUAGAUACCCGGGUAGUC
rnacentral:rRNA from 1 species